GAUACUGUAGCCAAAUCAAUUAAUCUUUUUAGCUGCCUGGCUCACUUUUUGAUUUGGUUAUUUUUGAGAGUCACUUAAAAAAGAGAAGUACAUUUUAAAAGGCACCUCCAUUUCGCUUUUGUUUUGCGUUUUUUGCAUUUUUUCCCUUCUUGCUGCACCUUAAUAUGGACGUCGUGACAAUGUAGUCGCAUCCUUUGAGCAAUCUUAAUUGGGAGACAUUUUAUCGAUAAACCAGAAAUCAGGAAGGGAAACUUUUUAACACAUUACCUGAAAAGAGCAAAGUUGAGGAUAACUGACUUUAAAAUAUACAUAAUGCCUUAGUUUGUAUUUUCCUACACACUAUCUUCUAAAAUUGUCACAGCAACGCUCUCGCAUGUUUGGCUCUCAUAUCUUUGUUUGUAUAUGAUUUAAGUACUCCGUUUUUAGCCAACAGCUCAGAAACUUGGAGUCAAUUUUACUUGUUUGGAACGGCUAAUCAUGGGGUUCUUGACAUACUCGCAAAGGUUUUGUUUGUAGAACUGUAGAUUUGUUCAAUCUUGAAACUGGUUAAUAUGGCAUGGUGUUAAUCAUAACACCGGUUAAGAGUUUGCUCAAAAGUUCUAGCAACGAUUUUAGUGCUACAAAAACAAAAGGUACAGUCUUUGAAAAAAAAAACCACUUUUUAUUAGCUUUGGCCGGCCAAAAUGUGCAUGUUGCAAAUGCUGCAAAAGACUUGCAUGUCCAAGAUUUUCUAAAAUUUUAUUCUAUCUGCAUAUUCUGCAAUUUUAUCAGCGACAUAUAUAAUAUAUUUCUGCAACUUCAAACGCAAUUUCAGCCAUAACUUAUCAAGAUUUUUACAAUUCAUAACGCUUAUAUAGAAGAGAUCUUUUUGACAUGAAAGUACCUGAAAGUACAAAAGAUGUUGGAGGUACGAUUCAUCUUUCCAUCAAAUAGCUCAGCGCAUCUCCAAAAACUGGAAUGAUUGAAAAGGAACAAUGACAAAGGUUAGGUCAGCUUCCCGUGUGUAACUUACUCCUCUUGGUUUAAGCAGGCAUGUGUGAAAGUUCGCGAAAAUGACAGACUAUAUAUUGGGAUUAAUGGUCUUAGAGGCAGGUUUAAAAUGUUAAUAAUCUUCAUCCCGAGUUUUGUAGGUUCAAAGUCUGGUGUCGGAAAUUAACGUUUAAGGAGCUAGUGUAACUAGGAGACCCUCUAGUCUGAAACCUACGAGGUUGAGUUUACAACAUCAAAUUCGACCGAUCUGAUUGUCUGUCUGUCCAUUUUUGAUUAACAUGUAAAAGGUUCCAAACAAAGCUCGACAGGAAAUUAGCAUUGUGUAAAAAGUUGUGAAGCUUUAGAUGGUUUAGCUGCAAGUUCGAGCGUGACCUAGAUAUGAGUACACACUAUUUUGGUAAUCGAUUGAAUUUUCAUCAACACCAACCGUCCAAAAUUGACACUUCAAAAGUUGCAUUCUACAUCAAAUUUGGUCACAAUAUGCUCUGUUUGUUUUCUUAAAGUAAAUGCCAGGAAUGACAGCCUUGCAAUGCCAAAAGUAAGAUAGAAGUAGACUCUCCCCAGGCAAUGGUGUUACCUUUAAUGCCUUUUGUUUAAGAGAGAAAUAUGUCAAUGUAAAAAAUGAUGCCACAAAACAUGUGGAACUUCUUGAAAGGAGAGACAAAAGAGAGAGCAAUUUUGAUUUAAGUGUCAAAUUCGUUUUUAAAAAAAAAAGAGCAAAAGCUACUGUUGUGGCCAUUUUGGACUAUCCCGUUUUCUGGGUCUGUGCUCUAUUUAAAGUGAAGUGCCGAAGAGAUCGUGCAUUAAAUCUGAUUGUAUUAUAGGACAACUUAGCGCAAAACCCCAAGGAAUAAGAAUGACAUAAACAUGGGGAAUAAGUUAACGACACAAGCACGUCACCCUAAAGCAUUGCACAUUUGGGUUCAUUGGUUCAAAAAAUUGCUCACAUAUCACAAGUUUGUGUUUCUAAUUUUCUAAAAUCGGGCAAUAGUGUGGAGACGUCACUUGCACAAAUGCAAACAUAGAGGUAAGUGUCGUAGAGGUUUAUGUACGUACUCAAAGACACUAAGCUUUGCUCAAUAAAAGCUAAACAAAUAAGAGAAUGCUGCAAGAAAAUCAAGCUCAUCAAUGCUGUUGAAUGGGAGUACAAGAAAAGUCGAGACGUCUUCGAACCCAACUAACUGACUCUACAAGUUUACGAAUUUGGGUGCCACAAAAGUUGAGCAUCUGGAUUUGCAUUAGGUUAACUUCCGGGACCGGAAUUUGAACCCACGGCACCGGGGGGAAAGAUCCCUGCUAUUCUCGUUGCCAAUUUCUUCUAUUGUUGAGCUAAUAUCAAUUGGACAUGGCUUCAACACAUUCACUAAUAGUUAUUUAACCUUUAUGUACAAUUAGAGCAUAACCAAGAGGCGUAGUGUUAAUAUGCAUGAGUUAUUUUCUGCAAGCAUAUUUAGAAUUUGAAGUUUCACUUGGGUUCAAAUUUGAAUCCAAUGUCGAAUUAGGUGUCAUUGAAUACUUGUUGCAAUCCAAAGCGAUUUCCCUUCGUCAAGCACGACGUUAUUCAAACCGGAUUUUAUUGAAUUAUUUUGUCUCAAAAUGCCUUGCUCAGUCUCAUUUUUUCACCGAACUUUCAAGCAUGUCCAUUCUGAAGAUUUUUCUUGCCAUCCUAUUGACCAUGGGGUUAAUAUUGGGCCAAGGUCAAGGCCGAGUGAUUAGAUGAGGAUGGUCCAGGAGCCCUGCAACGACCCCAAAGUCGAAGCAACUCCGUCCCUAACCAAACCCAAACCUCGGCAUUGAACCCACACCCACAGCAAUUAUCACCCGCAUAGCCUUAAUGAAGAAUGCCGCAGAAAGGAAGCGAUUCUUAGUGACAUUUGAAUGAUCUAUCUUGUGCUCGUGUAAUUGCCUUCACGUCUAUACAGAAAUUGACUAAUACAAGAACGUUUUCAUGGUC